UAGGCCAGUGGAGGCUCCUAUAAGUAGAACUGUCAGAUAAGAAACAAUUUGCAGGUUUAAAUAGUGAAAAACAGGGCAGUGGCGCAAAAUGCAUGGGUUAAAAUCUGAUGUAGUAAAUAAAGUGCUGUAAUAAAAAGGGGAAAAAUUGAGGUAGGAUAAAAGAGGAUGGUAAUUACCAGAUGAGGGUAAAAAAUAAAUAGUGAAUUAGGCCCAGUUGUAUCAGUGCUGAGGAAAUUAAUUAUUGUGAUCAGCUGUUGAAAGCACACUGGGAGAGCCAGGUUUUCAGAUCUUUCUUAAAGGCUGCCAAGAUGGGUGCCUGUCUGAUCUCCCUGGGGAGUUCCAGAGUCGAGGGGCCACCAUGGAAAAGCCCUCUCUCUCAUUCCCACAAGCCAUGCUUGCGAUGGUGUUGGGAGCGAAGGAGGGCCUCCCGCGACGAUCAAAGAGAACACACAGAUUCAUAGGGAGAAACGCGAUCCCGAAGGGAAACACGGUAGCAACUUCCAGAAAUGUUGGACAACAGAUACCAGCAACUCAAGACAAUAUAUGAAUGUUACAAGAUUUAGUCGAAGUCACCUGCCAGACUGUAGGAGGCAAAUUGAAGAAGAACCACUGUUUAAGCAUUCAUCAGGCUCCUUUGGCAGACAGCACUGAUAAAAGUCCUAUGUGAGGAGCUGCCAUGUUUCUCUGCAAUUGGGACCGAGGCUGUUUAUGGAAAUCCUGGUGAGAGAGUUCUCUUUGAUGAAUGCCGGAGACUGCAGCUAGGUGUCAGCGCUUAGAAAAUGAGGCAAGGACAUGAGAGGGAGCUAUGAGAUCCUGAACCAUGAGGAACAGCUGAACUGCAAGGACAUUUUUUUAGUAGGAGAAGGCAAAAAGGAAGACAAUUUUAGAAGAAAUCACUGGCAUUAGUAAAACAAAGAAAAUUACUUCGUCUUAUCCUAAAAAGUGUCAAGCAGACUCCAAAUAAAGUUAAAUCCUUAUAAUAAAGGAUACCUGGCAACUCUGAUCCAGAAAGCAAUACUUGUUUAGAUUGAGUCAAGAUAGGAACCCCAGUGCACACUCAGGGUGGUUCCAGACAGCUGAAAAGUCUGUUGUCAACCCGGGUUUAAAAAACCUGGGUCAGGGCACAAUGUAGUUCACACACCGGCCCCAAAAGCCUGCACUUUUUGUGGGGAGUGUCUAGAUGUCCUCUGGGUA